UACGUAGGGGGCAAGCGUUGUCCGGAAUCAUUGGGCGUAAAGAGCGUGUAGGCGGCCCAGUAAGUCCGCUGUGAAAGUCGGGGGCUCAACCCUCGAAUGCCGGUGGAUACUGUCGGGCUAGAGUGCGGAAGAGGCGAGUGGAAUUCCUGGUGUAGCGGUGAAAUGCGCAGAUAUCAGGAGGAACACCAAUUGCGAAGGCAGCUCGCUGGGACGUAACUGACGCUGAGACGCGAAAGCGUGGGGAGCAAACAGG
rnacentral:rRNA from 1 species